UACGUAGGGGGCAAGCGUUGUCCGGAAUCAUUGGGCGUAAAGAGCGUGUAGGCGGCUUGGCAAGUCUGGUGUGAAAUCUUGCGGCUCAACCGCAAGCGGUCACUGGAAACUGCCUCGCUAGAGUCCGGAAGAGGAGAGCGGAAUUCCUGGUGUAGCGGUGGGAUGCGCGGAUAUCAGGAAGAACACCCGUGGCGAAGGCGGCUCUCUGGGACGGUACUGACGCUGAGACGCGAAAGCGUGGGGGAGCGAACAGGG
rnacentral:rRNA from 1 species